UGAAGUUUUUAAUGAUUCCUAUGUCUAGAUGCAUGUAAAAUAGGGGAAUACUUAAUAGCUUUACUGUUUGCUUGCACAGAAAUGAAACAUAUAGAAAAGACAUUAGUGAAUAAAUGAAUGAAGGGUGUUUAACAACCAGGCAUUUGUUACAACCACUAGUCAUCCUAUGCUGUCUUUUUCCUCUUGAGCCUCCCAAAACUUCUACAAUGUGAAAUUAUUACAGAAUCACUAAUUAUUCCCCACCCCAGAUACUUCUCAAAAAAGUGAUGCCAUCCACUGAAGAUUUAUGGCAAAACAAGACAACAAACUUAUUGUUAGGAAAUUCUCCUGUCAUAAGGAUUUACAGGAGUUUUUGGAAAUAAUACCUAAGGGGGUAUUUAUUUUGCUUCUUUCCUUUCUCGGCUUUGAGGUGGAGCCUGAUUCUCCGUGUUGGCCGUUGAUCACGGUGGAGGCUAUGGAGAGGUAGCCAUGUAAUUUCUUUAUCUUUCACCUGCAAAUUACACACAUUAUUUUGCAGCUCAAAAUAAGCAUUCCCAACGAGUUGCAUUCAGUAAAUGUCUUUCACAGCAUUAGUACAGAACUGAGGUACAAAAGAAUAUUAAUCUAAUACAUUCCAAAAUUCAAAUACUUGUGAUUAAUAAGCAUUAUUAUCUAUAAAUAAGGCCCUAAUGAUACUUUGGCAGUGUUGUAAACACAAGAAUCAGAGGCAAUUAUUGUCAUUAUUGUUCGGCAAGUACUUCCCAUGAAUACCAAAUGGGUAUUGCUGCCCAGCUACUUGGCAAGUAAGGUUCCUAUAAAGAAGCAGAUGUUGUCCAGUCAGGACUGGCUACUAUCAACUGCCCUUAGCCCAAAACACAGAGUCCUUAAAGAAAGAAAAAAAAACCCCAACAUAUCAAAAACAAUUUUGACGUGAUUUUUAAAAAAAAUGCCCUUUAUAAUAAAUAUAAAAGCAUCUUGAGAAUAACGCUGUUUCCCAGUACUGACUUUGGUGAAUUGGCUACAUCAGCAACCAUUGUGUUAGCCGGAAGGAAAGGUCUCCUCUGCGGGGCUCUAGACCCAGUGUGAUGAGGUCCCUUGAAGAAAAUCAGUGGACAACAAAAAAUCAGUUACAACAAUACAAAUAAUGCUUCCAAGAGCAUGGGCAUGACCACGUCUUUAUCUUUUUUCCCUUCCACAGGCCACACAGAGCUUACUCUCUCUGUUAAGCAGGCCCAACCCACCAGGCCCAGCUGCAACACCAUGUGUGUGUGUGUGUGUGUGUGUGUGUGGGGAAGACCUACCACAGUACAAGUUAAAUCAAGUUCCUCAUACUCAGAGAAAACUGGACACAGCUCCCUGGCCACACGUUCACUCUUCACUCUGGGUCUUAGAAGUCAAUGCAGGCCCAGCGUUGGCUGUGUCAGUGAGCUGAUUUUAGCUUGCAGUCUUACUGAAUUCAAUGGCAUUGGGUAACAGCUAAAUUGGUUUUUGUGGAGAGGAAAAAAAAGUUUUGUACACAUUUUCCUAAGGGAUAGGUGCAUUAAGCAUCAAAUAGAGAUUUUUUUGUCUAUUUUUAAAUUUUCUUGCGCCACGCUUAUGCUUUAAAGAUGUUACACGUCUGUACAGAGGGACUUGAGAAAGCAUUGAACUGCUUUCCCAAGGCACUGGAGAAACUUAGAGAGGAGGCUUAGGGUGGCGGUGGGGGAGGUGGAUGUUGCAGAGAAACGACCUCUUUGCCAACCAUUGUUCUUGGCUCUCAGUUUCAGCGUGAGCGUGCUCUUGAUGGAGAAUGCAUUGUGGAAGGGGACACUAACCCCUGGAGGUGAGCGAGAUUGUUUAGUGGACUCCCCCCGCCCCCCAGCAGACACCUCUUUACCAUCACUUUACGUUUGAAGAGAUUGUCUCUUCUUGCCCUCAGGGAACUGAAACAGAAGGGAUUCCAUUGUCCUCACAAUAAGCUGGAGGGGGGUGGGGGGAGGGGAACCAGGGAGAAUGUCAGCCUAUGAGAUUUUCCUCUAGCUCCUUCUGAAAAUGCUCUUGCCACUCUCAGCCUGGAUUCGGUCAUGGGAACAAGGUAGCCAGGUGCAGGGAUGCAGGUAGCUGGACCCCAAAGCCAUUGCUGACAGGAGGCCUUGGGGUGAUAGCCUGGGCCCUGGGCACUCUCUCCUUCCUCUUCCACUUUGAACUCUUCUGAAGGGGCUGGGGGGGAAUGGUCCACCAGAAUUCAGCAGCCUGUGCUCAAUCUCUGAGUACAGGGAGAUGAGAAAAGGUGAGCCCUUCCAAGCAUAUCUGUUAUCAUUUCCAAGCAUAAUGACUCGAAAGAGAAUUUCCGUGACAAUGCUAAUAAUAAUGACCAAAUUUUACCAAGGACUUACCAUGUACCAGGUAUUAAAACAGCACCUUAUGUGCAUUGUCGUAUUUAAGCCCCAAAUGCCCUUUGAAGUACAGCUCCUAUCCAGGUUUGACUUGAACCAACUGAGGCAUCUAGGGGCUGAGUCGCCUGCCCAAGGUCACAUGACAAUGGUACUGGGUUUUGAUCUUCCAUCAUGUCUCUUAGAGACAAUGUGCUUUUAAUGGCAAUGCUUUACUGCUUUCUGAAUUCUCGGGGACCCUGCUGCUUUCUCCUCCUCUUGGAGUUUCCCAGAUGUCACCCCUUUAGGGACACCUCUGUGCUAGUUUGCAAAGCAGUCCUGUGACAUUUGUGAUUUCAGCACCCCCACCAAUCUCAUAUCAAAACAAAGAUGGUAAAGGCUCUUCAGGCUACCUCGUACACCGUUGUUACAGUCAGCCACGUCUCCCAGCCCUGUGUGAGAAUGAGAACAGAAUAAAGCUCAACAUACUAGCCUGAAAGGAUUAUUACAAUUUAGUUUGGAUGGUGUAUUUACACUAAAGUAUAGCAAAUUGUGAUAAGGGACUCAGAAAGUGCAUGUGUGUAUAUCUAUAAACUCUUGUGCUAAAUAAACAAGUAGUAAUGUGUCAGUUUCUCCGUGUAUUAGCGCGCUGGGAAUGCAAAUAACCUAUUGAUGGGAAACACGGUCCCUAAACAUAGUGUUGACUACCAGUUCUGGAGAUUGUCCCGCUUCCAGGCUGGCGAAAGAGCCCGUGGGGCUGCUUUGGCUGGUUCUGCUCCUCAGUGUGCUCAGCUCAGAACACCUUCACAGGGACUGUGUGGACGCCUCGUGGUGCCAGGCAGAGGAACUUUCUUAAAUCUCUUCACUGCUCUUCUUUGGGAGACAAGGGAGCUGUUUCAGGUGAGCCCAGGGUAAAUCCGUGAGGCUGGACUCUGUGCCCCCGGGAGAGGGUUGUGAGUCUGCGUACUGCUCCUCCUACCCUAACCGGUGAGCAAAGUGGGCAAAUGCUGGUUUUUGGCUAGAGGGAAAAUAUGUGGCUUCGUUUGGGAUCUAAGAGGAAAUAUAAUCAGCCAUGAAACUUUGAGAAACACUGGUACUCAACAUACAGCAACAGUGACAUAAAGGUUGAAAAAACCCUCAAUAAUGAUGAAAUCAUUUCAUCAUUUAGAAUGAAAUCUUCAUUGCUGCCACUGGCCCCCAAAGGACAAAAUGUUAUUUGUAAAGGUCAAAGUGAAAAGGUUACUUGGCUUUCAGCAAAUGACUUUCACUAAUUAAUUAAUCAGUUAUUAAUCCACUAAUAUUGUACCUCAUUCCAAGAAAGAAUUUGAGGCAGUUUAUAAAAAUAUAUGACAGAAAGAAGCUGAGGUGGGAAAAGUGAAGCAAGGUAAAGGUGGCACAAACUAAUGCAUGCCCUCAAAUGCUGUCCUCUGCUUUGAGAUGUUAGAAAGUCACAUGAAAUGACCCGAGAUAGAGUUUGCUUUCUCCAUAGCAAAAAAAAGCAAGAGAAAGAGAAAAAAAGAGUUUUACAAUAAACUAUCAAUCUAUGUUAACUUUCAUUUAAAAAGACAGUUUUCAAGAUGAAGUAUCAAUUACAUAUGACUUGGAUAUAUCUCCUAAACAUCUUUGAUAUAUUUAACCUCACAGAGAAUGUUCUGAGAAGAAUUUACUACAAUAUCUUCUGUAUUAAAAAUAAGAAAACUAAAAUUGAGUCCAUUAGAAGUUUAUAUUGGAGAAAUAGCAUGAUGAUAAUCUUUGACAAUUUUUAAUGCAAGCAAUCGGCAUCUUACUUCCCACAAGAUAAUUUGACAGUUUGCAAAGUAUAGAUCAUGUCUGCUUCUUCCCAGUAAGUCCCAGGAAAUCAAUAAAUGAUGCAUGUUUUACUGUUUCUUCUGUUUUUUGUUGAGGUAGUCAAGAGGCAGACAGUAUAAAGAGCUCAGUAAAAUUCCUUAUAUUCAGGAGUAUAUAAAUUCAUGCAGGGAGCCUCAAUUAGUUUAGUGACUUGGUUGCCUCAUGUAAUCUUUUUGGUUUUGGUUUUCUCAUCUGUUCAAUCAGAUAUGGGAUGCAGUUGAUCUUUAAGUUGCUUUCUAGUCAUAAAAUUCUCUAUUUUGAAUUUUCUGUCAUCUAGAGAAUCCAUUAAUGUAAGCAUGAUUUUUAAAUAUCUAGCUGUAUUUCAAUUGAUACAGAACUUGCCUGUAAAGAAGAAUACAGGGCCUUCUAUUGUGCAGUGUAAAUCAAUAAAAUGAAAAUGUAUCCAUUGACAACAUUUGUAUCUUCACCUCUUACAGAGCGGUGCCAUCUCUUUGAAUACAAUAUACUUUUAUGCCCCAUUAAAGCAUGCUUGACAUAGCUUUCAACUACUUGCAAAUGCUGAGAAGUUGAAAAACAUAACAUUUACAAAAGAUACAUCUGGUGCAUAUUUAUAUGACUUGGAAUAAGGAAUCAUUUAAAUACUGCUGAGCCAUCUCCAUAUUAGGAGAAAAGAUAUGCCAUGUCCAUAUGUGAAAUCAGUAGUAGAAUACAUGUAGGUUUAAAUUUCUCUUACACAUUUUUUUUUACUUGACG
ensembl:lncRNA